GGACCAUUCUAGCCCAAGAGGCCAUUCUCAGGUGCCAGACUUCACAGGGCCAGCUCAGCCACCAAGAGGGUCAGAGGAGACCCAGGGGGCCAGAGGAGAAUGGGGGGCCCUGGUCAACAUGGAACUUCUUGGGUAAACCACCACACACAAUGCAUUGAAAAUGAGCUCUUUAUCUUUUAGAGAUCAAUGUCUGAUAUACUAUGGGGAUGGGGCUUACUAUCAAGCAUGUCCAAGAUGGCUGCCAUUGUCAGCACUUUCUAGAGUUAUGAAGGUUUAUGACAGGCCACUCUAUGUUUCUAGGUUAUUGUAUCUCUAUGUGUGUACUGAUGGCUGGUUCUUCUUCACAGGUUGCCUAACAUUGGCAAGACUUGCUUCCUAAAUGCCACCCUGCAGUGCCUCCUGGUCCUGCCUUCCUUCUCAACGGAAAUCCUACGCCAGGAACAACUCUGGAACUCCUCCCCCUUCUCCAACCUGCUCAGGUGUCUCUAUCUGAUGUGCACCGUUUGAGUCUACCUGACAGUGGCGCAAACCAGGCCUCAAAAGCAGACCUCAUAUAUAUGAUUUGAAGUAUCUGGGGGACACGCAACAGGACGCACACGAGUUACUUGUGAAUAUGCUGUGCCAACUGAAGGAGGAGGGCAUGAUACUGAAGACACUCGGGGUGAACUAUACCUGCCCUGUUUCCCAGCUGGAGUUCCAGCUUGUCUCAGUGCGCACAUGUACCAGGGCGAAAAGGUUGAAUGAAUUCACAUGUGCGGGCUGCAAAGGCCUCUACAGCUCAAAAGUGGAGCAGUUCCACACACUGCCUCUGUGAGUUGCCUCUUUAUAACCUCUCAUAAGACUGGCAGUGUUUAAUGAAGAGUGCUCAUUGUGUCCUGAGACUUUAAGAGUAGUUACCUUCCUGAGCAGGUUGUAGGACUUAGGGAUGAGCACAACCGAACAAAUUUCACUCAUCUGUUAUUUUGUUGACUGGUUUCAUUGUCUGUCUGUUCCUCUCUUCCUCUGGGCAGUGUGCUGGUUCUGUAUCUGAAGAGGUUUGAAGGACCUGGGGGGUUGGAGAAGCUGGAGACUCCUCUUUUGUUUCCUUAGAUAUUUAUAGACCCAUGAAUUAUGGUCAUCUGGGUCUAAAAGACAUCCACUUCUUUGUGUACUCACAGAAUAACAAAAUAACUUAUACCUGACCAAGAUGGCUGCCAUUUCCAGCACUUUCUAGAGUUAUGAAGGUUUAUGACAGGCCACUCUGUGUUUCUAGGCUAUUGUAUCUCUAUUUGUGUACUGAUGGCUGGUUCUUCACAGGUUGCCUAACAUUGGCAACACUUGCUUCCUAAAUGCCACCCUGCAGUGCCUCCUGGUCCUGCCUUCCUUCUCAAAGGAAAUCCUACGCCAGGAACAACUCUGGAACUCCUCCCCCUUCUCCAACCUGCUCAGGUAAAGGGAAGGCUCAAAAGCAGACACACCCCCACCCACGAUUUGUGGUCAUAAAUUAAAGAAGGGACACUCUUUUCACGGCACUCGUAGCCAGUUAGGAAAGCAUUUUUUGCUAACCCUAACCCUUUCCCUAACCACGUCAUAUUCCGCUGUGUAUUGCAUUUAUUUAAUUAUUUCCAUUUUUUUCUUCUGAAUCUUCAUAACCUACCGGAACAACAAUGACACAAUGAUUAUGAUGUAGAUAUUUGUAGGCCAAUUUGGAAACUGUAGAAUGACUACAUUGCCCGUAAUAUAAUGCUCAUCGACUGAACAUUCCACAUUAGUUUGGGAAAUUUGGUAGUUUUUAAAAUGCUCUGCAAUUGAGAGCAGUAUCCAAACCAAAUAUAUUAGGAGAAUAAACAACACAUUUAUGUUGUUUUGCUUCAUUGUCAGUCCUCUAAGGUGAAAUUGCAUUGAAUCAAAUUAAUCAUUUCUAAUGAUGGGGUGCGGCUAGAUAAAAAAUAUUUGGA